CACUCUGGUGGCCUAUUGGUAGAGCAUCCACUUUGGAUGUGAGAGGUCACAGGUUUGAAUCCUGUCCAAGUCA